rnacentral:lncRNA from 1 species
UCCCUUUCUCUUCUUCCCUCUUUUCCUUUCUCUCUCCCCGAGCUCUCUUUUCCCGCCGGAUUUUCGACCGCCAGACCGCCGCCGUCCGGUCUCCGUUCGCCGCCGGACCGGUCCCGUUCGGUCGGUCUCCCUCCCAGCAACAUUUCUAGACCGGUGACAGCCUCCCUAGCGCCGCCGUGAGUGAGCGGUGCCGCCCGAAAGGUCCGACUGCCGUAGCUCUCCUUCGCCGGAAUUUCCUCCUCCGGCCACCAAUCCGGGCAAGCUUGGUACGGUUUUGUAGCCCUCCUCCCGUGCAACAACCCCUCCAAACAGCUCCCUCCCUCUUGAGCUAGGUAAGGAGAAAUUUGAGGUGGAAGUUUUAUGGUGUUUUUGAUGUUUUUAAUCGAUUGCCCUAGUUAGGCUUGGAAUUGGUGUUUGUGCUAGUUAUGAAAGUUGUAGAGCUUGAUGAGAGGAAGAUGCUGUUAAAAUUUCAUAGGUUUUGGAGGUCGCCGGAAUUGACCUCCGGCCGCCGCUGCCGGCGGAGCCGCCGGCGGCGCCGCCGCCGGUUGGGAGAUUUUAAUGUUGUUAAAUUUGGAAUAUUAAGGGGAGUUUAUUGAAGUGAGUUAUGGAAUUUUUGGAUGAGUUUUGGAUAGGUUUAUGAAUUUCCGAAGUGUGAUAUUUUUGGCGGGUAAUUAAUGUAGAAUCCGGCCGUUGGAUUUAAGUCGUAUUUUGGAGAUGUUGUAUUUACGACUGUGGAGUAUGAUAUUUAAGUUCGGAUCGUCCGAUGUAAGAAUAUCGAAGUUAGGCAAUAAUGAGCGUAAUUAUGGCUCUCGGGUAAUUUUGCCUAUUUUGAUUAAAUAUUGGAUAUUGGUUGGGAAAUUAAUAUUAUAUUUGGAACAGGACGUGAAGAGGCUCGAGCAGACGAGACCCCAGAUUGACAUCAGGCUUAGGCCUAAUUCGUGAGUGGACUUUUAUUUGAAAUAAUAUGCAUGCUAUGGUUCAUGAUUGAACAUUUCCUUUUGUUGGAGUUUUGACGUCAAUUAAUUUUGACGCUUUUAUUUCUCUGAGAGAGUUACCGAAAAUGGGAUUUUCGGUAAAUAUAAAUAUGUAUUUAUGAGAGAGUAUGUAUAGAAAAUGCUAGCUAGCCAUAUGUGUCUGUCCACCUUAAUGGCGUAGCAUAUAGCCGCAUUAUGGUGUGACGUGAGCGUUGGACGUAAGCGUAGUAGCCUUAUAUGAGUGUUUAAUUCAUAUAAGGGGUAUGGGCACAUAUUUAUACACCCGUCUGUCCACCUUGAUGGCGUAGUGUAGCACCGCAUUAAGGCGUGACGUGAGCGUUGGACGCGAGCGUAGUAGCCCUAUAUAGACCCAUGAAUUUAUAUAGGGAGUAUGGACGAGUGUAAAUACAUACAUAUAUUAUAGAGUCUGAGAGGCUCGAUAUUUUAUGGGAUAAAGGUUUUAUCGCUUGCGGCACGCAUUCGAUUUUUCCUUAGAAAUUACUUUGGGGAAACAUAAAUAUUUUAAUUAUUAAUUUAUUUUUGUCCACUCACUCUAACGUUAUUAAAUGUUUUCCCCUGGGCCCUUCGUUUUAAAUUGCCCAGUCUGCAGAGUUCGGGUUGGAUCUAGUAGGAGACGAGGCAUAGUCACCCGCUUUUCGGCCAGUUUUCAUCAGUAGGUUACAUGUUCAACCUACUUGUGUUUUCUUGCUUCCGCUUGUGUUUAGUAGCUCUGAAUACUUUAGAAUUUUUGUAUAUUAUGUGAUGUUCAGAAGUGUAAUAUGAAAUUUUCGAGUUAGGGUUGUCCAUCUACAAGGGAGAUUUUCUUAAUCUUUUCAGUAAAUUUUCCUUGGAGGUGGUCCCCGCACGACUUAUUCUGGGUUUCAGGGUGAAAUUCGGGGUGGGUCGUGUCAGUUGGUAUCAGGCUUAGGCCUGAUUUGUGAGUGGACUUAUAUUUUUACCUUGACAAUCCCGCUUGUCAAGGUGCUGUGGAGAAGUCAUCAAGUAGAAGAAGCUACUUGGGAAUCAGAUGAGCAAAUGAUGCAGCAGUAUCCGUAUCUCUUCGGAGGACAUGUAUAUUAAUUUCGAGGACGAAAUUUUUAUAAGGAGGGGAGAAUUGUCACAUCCCGACCCUUAUAUUUUUACCUUAUUUACUAGCGUGAUUAUAAUAAGAAUUUUACCGUCUCGAUCAUUGAGUAAAUAGUUUAAUUGGUCCCUAGAGGGGUUUCGGGGACGAUUAUGUGCGGAGGAUUAUUCGUAUGAGG